GACGAACGCUGGCGGCGUGCCUAAUACAUGCAAGUCGAGCGCAGGAAGCCGUCUGAACCCUUCGGGGGGACGACGGUGGAAUGAGCGGCGGACGGGUGAGUAACACGUAAAGAACCUGCCCAUAGGUCUGGGAUAACCACGAGAAAUCGGGGCUAAUACCGGAUGUGUCAUCGGACCGCAUGGUCCGCUGAUGAAAGGCGCUCCGGCGUCGCCCAUGGAUGGCUUUGCGGUGCAUUAGCUAGUUGGUGGGGUAACGGCCCACCAAGGCGACGGUGAAUGGCGGACCUGAGAGGGUGAUCGGCCACACUGGGACUGGGACACGGCCCAGACUCCGACGGGAGGCAGCAGUAGGGAAUCUUCCACAAUGGACGAAAGUCUGAUGGAGCAACGCCGCGUGAACGAUGAAGGCUUUCGGGUCGUAAAGUUCUGUUGUAAGGGAAGAACAAGUGCCGCAGGCAAUGGCGGCACCUUGACGGUACCUUGCGAGAAAGCCACGGCUAACUACGUGCCAGCAGCCGCCGUAAAAC
rnacentral:rRNA from 1 species